AGUGAACGCUGGCGGUAGGCCUAACACAUGCAAGUCGAACGGCAGCACAGUAAGAGCUUGCUCUUACGGGUGGCGAGUGGCGGACGGGUGAGGAAUACAUCGGAAUCUACUUUUUCGUGGGGGAUAACGUAGGGAAACUUACGCUAAUACCGCAUACGACCUACGGGUGAAAGCAGGGGAUCUUCGGACCUUGCGCGUUUGAAUGAGCCGAUGUCGGAUUAGCUAGUUGGCGGGGUAAAGGCCCACCAAGGCGACGAUCCGUACCUGGUCUGAGAGGAUGAUCAGCCACACUGGAACUGAGACACGGUCCAGACUCCUACGGGAGGCAGCAGUGGGGAAUAUUGGACAAUGGGCGCAAGCCUGAUCCAGCCAUACCGCGUGGGUGAAGAAGGCCUUCGGGUUGUAAAACCCUUUUGUUGGGAAAGAAAAGCAGCAGGUUAAUACGCCGCUGUUCUGACGGUACCCAAAGAAUAAGCACCGGCUAACUUCGUG
rnacentral:rRNA from 1 species